CCUACGGGUGGCAGCAGUAAGGGAUAUUGGUCAAUGGGGGAAACCCUGAACCAGCAACGCCGCGUGAGGGAAGACGGUUUUCGGAUUGUAAACCUCUGUCCUCGGGGAAGAGGAUGACGGUAGCAGAGGAGGAAGCUCCGGCUAACUACGUGCCAGCAGCCGCGGGAAUACGUAGGGAGCGAGCGUGGUCCGGAUUUACUGGGUGUAACGGGUGCGGAGGCGGCCUGGCAAGUCAGUAGGGAAAUCCAUGGGCUUAACCCAUGAACUGCUAUUGAAACUGUCGAGCUUGAGUGAAGUAGAGGUCGGCGGAAUUCCCGGUGUAGCGGUGCAAUGCGUAGCUAUCGGGAGGAACACCAGUGGCGAAGGCGGCCUACUGGGCUUUAACUGACGCUGAGGCACGAAAGCGUGGGUAGCAAACAGGAUUAGAUACCCUAGUAGUC
rnacentral:rRNA from 1 species